AAGGGUUAGGCUGUUCGCCUAUUAAAGUGGAACGCGAUCUGGGUUCAGAACGACGUGAGACAGUUAGGUCCCUAUCUGUUGUGGGCGCAGGGUAUUUGAGGAGAACUGACACUAGUACGAGAGGACCGUGUCGGACGCACCUCUGGUAUGCCGGUCGGAUCGCCAGGUCCGCCGCCGGGUCGCCAAGUGCGGGCAGGAUAAGCGCUGAAAGCAUCUAAGCGCGAAGCCGUCUUCGAGAUGAGAUACCCAUGAGGGAGGUUAUAGACGAUGACCUUGAUAGGCCUCAGGUGUAAAGGCGGAGACGUCAAAGCCGAGAGGUACUAAUAUCCCGAAAGAGUUUCCUCG
rnacentral:rRNA from 1 species